CUUUUUAUCAAUAUACUAUUAGACUACUGUAAAUAAAAGCAAAUUUAAUAUCACACAUAUGACAUAUUGAGGACUUACAGUCAAAAAUAAUUUCCCCCUUGAAACAAAGGGUUAGUAGCUUGAUAGGUGAUCAAAACAUUUUUUAUGAUAAAACAUUGCAUUCUUAUACUGUCAGCAGUUCUAUCAAUUUCAAACUUUGAAAAGAAGCAUCUUCAAUGAUAUAAAAAAAUCUUCAAAAAAGGUUAAAAAAAAUUGAAUAAUGGUGAGCGAUUAGCACAAAGGGGAAAAAAAUCCAUUUUGAAUUGAUUGGCUACAAGAUAUAUAAAUGCAAGGACCCUUUUAUAAAAUUAACUUAUUUCUAAAGAAUAAUUAUAAAUAAAAAUUAAUAUAAAAAAAAAAAAAAAUAGUAAAUGGUAUUUUUUUUUUUUAAUGUUAUAUAUAAUUUCUCCUGAUUACCAUACCACCUCAUAACCUUAUUUACAUCAAGCAUACACAAUUACUUUUGAUUAUAAUCCAAUGCAUGGCACAAUUAUCUCCCUUGCGCCUUCUAUAUUUAAUAUUUAUAUGGUUGUAACACCACUAAUUAGGGCCUGGCCAGAAAGUAGUACAUAUUUAACACAAAAUUGUUUCUAAGCAUGAGUGUAACUUUCAAAAUAUGUAGAAGAUUUAGGUAUUUUUGGUAUCAAAUGAAAGCUAAAGGACUGGUGGUCAUUGUAGAAUGCUUCUUGACUUAUAAUUUUAAAUAUUUAAAAAACUACAUCUAAUUUUUAAAAAAGGGUACAUUUUGUCUGUUUUACAGAUCUGAAGUACCUGUUUUGGUACAUCUGAAGUUCUGGGAAACAGUUCUUUCUUAUAUAUGCCAUUAAAGUUAUGUUGAUUUUUUCAUUACAAGACACCAUAAGGUGUUGCUUUGACAUACAAUGAUUGUCGCUUUAUUUGAACUUAAAACAAAAGAGGUGUGCCUGCUUAAAAUGGAGGAAUUUAACAUAGAAAGCAAAGGGGCCAUGAAUUAGUGGUGUACUUCCUUAUAAUCCAAUGUAUGGAUCAAUUACCUCCCUUGCGUCUUUUAUAUUUAAUAUUUAUAUUGUUUUCUAUUCAAAACCAUUUGAACACAUACAUUCACAUCUAUAUAUUUGUAAAAUGCCACUGUCAAUAUAUGGUAAUAAAAUAUGAAAUAUACAAAUUUAAAUUAACCAAAAUAAAAAUAUUCAUUCAGUGUUUAACAGUAGUUUUCAACAAUAAACGAAUGUCUAUACAAAUUACAAUAUGUUUACACUGUUACAUCAAUAAAUCAGUCUUACACAAAAAUAGAAGAUGUGGAAUAAUUGCCAUUGAGAAAACUAUCCAAAAUUGUUUAAAUGCAGUGAAUAUAUGUAAUUGUAGUCAACCAUACAGCCUUCAACAUUGAGAAAAACCUAUAAUGUAUAGUUGGCAGUUAAAAAAAAAUGAUAUCACAUGUGCGAUUUCUAAUUAUACUAUUUUUGAUGACCUCUUUAAAGUUAUUAUAAACGUAAAUAGAACAUUAAUGGAAAGAAGUGCUCAUAAAUCUUACAUAGGGAUCACAAUUAUAUCUAAAUAAAUUAAAUUUAAAAAAAAUAUACAUCUCUGCUUCUUGGUCUACGUUAGAAAUACUUUUUCAGAUUUUUUUUUUUGUAGAUUUCUUUUGUUCAAUGCUAGUACCAAUUUGAACCUUUUCUAGAAAAUGAGACCUGCAAACACACUAAUAAGAUCCAUAUUGUUGCAAGUGACCAGCAUUCAUCUAAAUAAUGAAAAAAUGAAAGUCUUAUCAUAUUCAUUUGAGAUUUCUAGAUUAAAAUAAAAAUCCUACUGUUUUUAAAAACAUUUCUUGGGGUUGCAAACAACAGUAACCAGAUGCUCCGCAGGGUGCAGCUUUAUAAGACCCCAGAGGUCAAACUCUGAACGGUUGGGUACAGCUCUAAAUUUGGAUUGUGAUUAAAUAGUUGACACACCAUAGGUUUUUGACAAAGAAUGAGUGUGGUCUAAUGAACUUAAAAUUUUUAUUUUUGCUUUUGAGCAAUUCACUAUGCUGUUGAAUAUUAAUCCUCUCAAAAAAAAAGCAUUUGAAGAAAUUUUCUUUUACUUUUCUUAAAUCUGAAAUGAGAAAAAUUGACCCCCCCCCCCCCAAUUUUUUUUUCACCUCCCCUUCCCUUAUUCCAAAAUUGAUCUCAAUUCAAAUUUCUAAUGGAGUUUGCAACAAUAACUACUCAUUUAAAUACAUCAUCAAAUAUUAAAAUGUCAUACAGGCAUGGUUAAAAUUAAUAUUAAUCAAUAGUAACUUCUAAAAAAGUAAAUAGGGAAUGUGUCAAAAGGGACACAGAUGAUGCCCCCGCUAGCAUAAGCAUUUAAUGUUAUAAAGGAACAUAACUCAAGAACUGUUUUAAAAGUGAAGGUGCCAAAAAUUGAUCUUAAACUGAGUUUAGAGGUAAUAAGCAUUAUAUACACAUUUCAUUAAAUUUAGUUGAGACAAACUUAAGUUAAGAGAACAGAAACUAAAAAUUCUUCAAUUUUUCCAUUUGUAAAGGGGCAUGACCCUAGAAUGGAAAUCAAAGUGCUUGUAAUCACUGAAUGGUAAAGACUGCUUUAAUUUAUCAGUUGGUAGUAAAGUGAAUAUUGCAUUGUAUAUUGUAUAUAGCAUUGAUUUAAGUUGAUUCAACUACUAUUCUGGACAAAGAAAGAUAACUCCAAUUUUCAAAGAAGAUUUCAUAAAGCAUUGGUUUUAGGUGAUUCAACAACCAUUCUGGACAAAGAAAGAUAACUCCAAUUUAUUGUCUUAGAAACUACAAAAAUGCUUGUUUUUGGCCCCUUUUUGGCCCCUUUAUUGCCCUUUAUUCCUAGACUAUUUGCCCCAUAACCCACAAAAUAUAUCCCAACCUUCUACUUAUGGUAUUAAACAUUGUGGUACAAUUUCAGAACAAUUGAAAUACUUCUACACAACUUUUUGUACUGACACUAGAUAAAUGCUUGUUUGGUCCCCUUUGGGCUUCUUAUUCCUAAACCUUAGGGACCAUAGCCCCCAAAAUCGAUCCCAAGUUUCUUUUUGUGGUUAUAAACAUUGUGUUAAAAUUUUAUUGAUUUCUAUUGACUUUUACUAAAGUUAUUAUCCGGAAACCAUCAGUCUUCGAACGACGAUGACUACGACGACGACAAUGCUGACGACAACGUGAUACAAAUAUACGACCACAAAUUUUUUAUUUCGGUCAUAUAAAAAUGGAGUGUUAUCCUUAAAAAUGAUAUUGAAACAAACAAUAUGGUGAUUCAUAAUCACUAACAAUACACAUGUGUUUAAUGAAACAAAUUUCAAUAUCACUCUAUGAAAACUUUACUGGGAAUAAAAAUGCAAUAACUCAAAAUUUUAAAAAUCCUUUCAAUGCCAGUUUUGAGGUAAACAUAUUAUUUAUACAGUGGAGGAUAUCUAGAUCUAGGUCUGCAGCUGUAGAAAAUCACCAUUAUAUUAUAACAGUGACAGGUCUACAGCUGUAGGAAAUCACCAUUAUAUCAUAACAGUGACAGGUCUACAGCUGUAGGAAAUCACCAUUAUAUCAAAACAGUGACAGGUCUACAGCUGUAGGAAAUCACCAUUAUAUCAUAACAGUGACAGGUCUAAAGCUGUAGGAAAUCACCAUUAUAUCAAAACAGUGACAGGUCUGCAUAGUUGCUACCUUGUAGUCACCAGCACACAAACAAAUUGUUUUAUACAGAUUCCCAAACAACAUUUUCUUGCCUUCAAAUUUCCCAGCUUGUCAGCAAGAGGUACAAAUGAAGUACAUUCUCCAUUGCUUAGAUUAUAAUGCUACAAUUUUUGACUACAUGAUCAUCAUUUACUAUUUCUAUACUACAAUAUAUUAACAGUACUUUCACAUACAGAUUAUUUAAUUAUAUAUAGAUAUUAACAUUUGUAUACAAGGGAAAAGCAAAUGAAAUACAUCAAGUGCAUAGUGAGGGGUGGACAGGAGUCUUUAAUUUCCACUACCCUUCCCUCUACUCCCUAAAUCCCUUCCCCUACUUUCACUCUCAUCCCCCUUACUUCCAAACAAUAAUUGUUUUUUAAAAAAAAUCUGAAAACAUCCCUAUUUUUACUCCCUCUCCUCCCCUUGAUUCCUACUUCCCUCCCCUUGAUUCCCUGCUUCCUGCCCCUCAUUCCCAUGUUCCCUUAGUCCUGUCCACUCCCUCAAUAGUAUUUACAUAGUAGCUAGGCAGGAACAACACUGGUAAUAUUAUGGCACAAAAAGCUGCUGCCUUAUGACAGCAGAUAAAUAUUAUGUCCUUAUAAUCUCCAUGGUUUUACAAUAAUCACAUUUCCAUGUUCACUAAACAACAAAAUCUGAUCAUGUAAUUUGCCAUACAUUUAAAAAAACAACAACAAAAACCAAUAAAAAACAAUCAAUCAACAAUCCAAAAAAAUAUUAAAUGUUUAAUGAACAUAUGUACUAAGUUUCAAGUUACGGUGUCCAAACUCAUGGAAAACUAUCUUAAUUCAAACUUUAAAUAGAUAAACAUUAUCACAUUUCUCUGUUCAGUGAAUCCCAAAAUAUGGGUCAAAACAUUAAUAUUGAAUAUAUUUUAAAAAGUUCUCAUCUAAGGUUGAAGUUAAUAUAACU
rnacentral:lncRNA from 1 species